CCUCCUGAGAGUUAAAGAAGCUCCUCUGCCUGUCUCUGCUUGCUAUUGCUGUCUUGUAUUGCAAAUCUGCAUUCAUCAUCUCCUUCUCCUUCUACCUACGAGAGAAGCUCUGUGCCUGGUUACAUAAGGAAACUAAGAUAUGGCAGUAGAACCUGUGCUUACUUUCGCGACCGAGGGAAUACUGACGAAGCUGACUUCCCUUGCUGCUGACGAAAUCAGUCUUGCUUGGGGAUUCAAAGCUGAACUAGGGAAGCUCAGUGAAUCCUUAUCCAUCCUUCAAGAUUUCUUAGGAGGUGCUGCUGAGAAGGCAAAAGAUGGUGGCAGGCCAGUGGAAGGCUGGGUGAAGAAACUUAAAGGCAUAGCUGAUGAGGCUGAUGAUGUCUUUGAAGAAAUCAACUAUGAAUUUCUCCGGAGACGAGUAGAACUGCAUAACCAUAUGAGAAAAAAGGUGCUCAACUUCCUUUCUGCAUCCAAUCCCAUUUUGUUUCGACAAAAAAUGGCACACAGAAUUAGAAAAAUCAGCGCUUCUCUGGCGAAGCUCAAGAACGAAGCAUCUUACAUUGGAUUAAUUGCAAAGAAAAAAGAUGCAACCCCUCAAAGAAUUAGAGAGGACCGAGAAACCAACGCUUUCAUUGGUAAAGAUGAAAUCAUCAUUGGAAGGAAGAACGCUGUGUCAGAUAUAGUUACAACAUUGACCAGCUCCGACAUAAAUCAAGAAAAUCUGUCGGUUAUGGCAAUCGCGGGAAUGCCAGGACUGGGAAAGACAACUUUGGCCAAGUCAGUGUACAAUGAUAAUUCAGUAACAGGGUAUUUUGAAAAAAGGAUAUGGGUGUGUGUGUCUGAUCCUUUUAACAUCAAUGUGAUUUUGAUCUGCAUGUUAGAAUCUCUUAACCCAUCAAAAGCCACUGUAAGAGAAAAUCAAGAUGCAAUGCUUAAAUACAUUGAAGAAGAGUUGAGAGAGAAAAUUCGUCACGCGAAAUUUGUAUGCGCGACGAAUAUUAUUUCGUAGCGCAAAGUUCAUGUAUCUCGCACGACGGAAGAGUCCGUCGUGCAUUGUUUUUGUUGAAUUCUGCUCCAGGAAGCAAAAUUAUUGUCACUACCCGCAGUGGCAUAGUUGCAUCACUCACAGAAACACUUCCGCGGCCUAAAUUGGACCUUCUAUCAACAGAUGAAUGCUGGUCCAUAUUGAAACAUGCAGCUUGCUCAGAUGGUAGUUUAGAGGGAAUUGGACGGGAGAUUGCUAAAAAGUGUGAAGGUCUACCAUUGAUGGCACAGGUUUUGGGAGGCAUUUUGCGCUCUAAAAAGACUCAUAAUGAAUGGUCUAAAGUCAAAGACAAUAGAAUAUGGGACUUACCAAAGACAGAAGAUAGAAUCAUGUCAGUCUUGAAGUUGAGUUUCGAUAAUUUGGAAUCACCAGCACUGAAGCAAUGUUUUUCAUAUUGCUCGGCGUUCAUGAAAGAUGAGGAGAUGAAACGAGAUGACUUGAUUCAACUUUGGAUGGCUCAAGGAUUCCUCCAUCCUCCUGAAAAAAGUAAUCUAGAGAUGGAGGAUAUAGGUAAUGAAUAUUUUGAUAUUCUAUUCCAAAGAUCCUUAUUUCAAGAUGCUAGACUGGAUGAUGAUGGCAUUGUUUUUCAAUGCAAGAUGCACGAUCUCAUACAUGAUCUUGCAGAACGUGUAUCCGAAACUGGAAGCAUGAUGCGAGACUUCCACAAGGAUGAAGAUGUUGCAACUCCCAUUAUAGAAAGAAUUCCAGAAGGAAGUAGUGGGAAAUUGAGAUCACUGUUUUCGAAUGCUGAAGCACUACCUGGAAACAUGCUGCCAUGGUUUAAAGCUUUACGUGUCUUGAAAUUAUAUGAGGCAUAUAUUGAGGAGCUUCCAAGUUCAAUUGAAGAGCUGAAACGCUUGAGAUAUCUUGACAUUUCCUGUACAAAAAUCAAAAGACUCCCAAAUUCUAUUGGCAAGCUGUAUAACCUACAGACAUUAAGAGCAACAUACUGCAAUCUUGAAGAAUUUCCAAAAGACAUGCAAAACUUGAUCAACUUGAGACAUGUUUAUUGUGAUGAGGAAACGAAAUUUCCAGCUGGAGUAUUAGGGAGAUUAACUAGCCUUCGAAAAUUACCUUAUGAGGAUUAUGAGGUGAAGGGUAGGGAAAUUGAGGAGCUGGCUGCCUUGAAUCAAUUGAAGGGUAAAUUGAAUAUUUGUAAAUUGGAAGAUGUAAGGAAUGGAGAUGAGGCAAGGAUAGCUAAAUUAAAGGAUAAGAAAAACGUACGCAGCUUGAUAUUUACCUGGUCAAUAACCAACAAUAAUAAUGAUGCAGAUGUACUAGAAGGCCUCCAGCCACAUUCUGAGAAUAAUAAUGAUGAUGAUGUACUAGAAGGCCUCCAGCCGCAUUCUGAGUUGGAAAGGCUAAAGAUUAAAUAUUUCAUGGGUACUAAAUUUCCAUCAUGGAUGAUUAAGCUUCGCAAUUUAAAGCAGAUUGAGCUUAAGGGGUGCAACAGAUGUGAAAAAGUCCCAACACUCGGCCAUCUACCUCAUCUUACAGUUGUUCGGAUUAAAGGACUGGAUAAUCUAAAAUGUGUUGGAGAAGAGAUUUAUGGAAAUGACAUAUUUCCAGCACUGAAAGAAUUACACAUUCAUAAUUGCAAGGAACUAAUUGAAUGGAUGGAAGCACCAGAACAAGCCAUAGUGUUUCCUCGCCUGGAGAAGUUGGAGAUGAGGCGUUGUCCCAAAUUGAGAAAGGCUCCCAGUCGUCUUCCAUGUCCGAAGGAGUUGGAGAUACAAGGUAAUAUGGAACAUAUGGAGAUAAGAUGUGAGAAGUUAAAGAUAAGAUGUGAGAAGUUAACUUGUAUUGCCCACUAUAUCUUUGGUUGUUGUGCAUCUCUUCGAAAGUUGGCUGUAUUCUUUUGCCCUAGUCUACAAUCUAUUUCGAAUUUGCAUAGCUUCACAUCUCUUCGUGAAUUGAGCAUUGAACAUUGUGAGAGAUUAGAAAGUUUGGUGAGCAGUGGGCCCGUCUCUGUUGUGGAGUUGCUGACUAUAAAAGGUUGUAGUGGUCUACAAUCUAUUCCAGAUUUGAACCUCUUCCCAUCCCUCCUUAAAUUGACCAUUAAAAAUUGUGAGAGAUUAGAGAGUUUGGUGAGCAGUGGGCCCGUUUCUGUUGUGGAGUUGUUGACUAUAAAAGGUUGUAGUGGUCUACAAUCUAUUCCAAAUUUGAACCUCUUCCCAUCCCUCCUUAAAUUGAACAUUAAAAAUUGUGAGAGAUUAGAUAGUUUGGUGAGCAGUGGGCCCGUCUCUGUUGUGGAGUUUAUAAUAAGAAAUGCCCCUAAUUUAGAGAGUCUUCCAAGUUUAGACAACCUCACAUCUCUCUCUGAGUUGGUGAUUGUUAAUUGUGGGAAAUUAAAAUAUCUGCCCACAGGGCUACACUGCUGCGCCAGUUUGAUAAGAUUGGAACUUGGUAGCUUCUGGGAGGAGCUCGAUUCCUUCCCUUAUUUCCAUCUUGAAACUGGAUCAUCACAACUUCAAACAUUAAUUUUGACCGGGUGGCCCAAGCUCAAGUCUCUGCCUCAACAAAUUCAAGACUUCACUUCUCUAAAAUAUUUGUGGAUAGAGUGUUUCGAUGGAGUGGAGGCUCUUGAGGAUUGGUUGGGUGACCUUACAUCCCUUGAGAAUCUAGAUAUUUGGAGUUGCAAGAAUCUCAAGUGUCUACCCAGUGUCGAAGCUACGCAACGCCUCACCGAAUUACGAUGGCUAAAAAUUAGGGAAUGUCCCCUUCUGAAGGAAAGAUGCACCAAGGACAACGGCCCAGAGUGGCCCAAGAUUUCUCACAUUCCACAUAUCUGCAUUGAUGACAGAUUGACGCUCCAACUUUGACAGUGAAGAAAUGUACCCUUUCAUUGGAAGGCAAUGCUUCUCGGUAUUUGUGGAUUCUUUAUCACCACUUGUUUAGAGGGCCUGAGGGGUUGGGUAGGGAGAGAUUGAUAUAGAGCGGAUUUUAUUUGCAUCGUAACAACUUAAUUGAAACAGAACAAAGAAGGAAAUUAAGGAAUGCCCCCUCUGUUCAGAUUUUGAACCUACAUUUUUUAGCAUAUUCAUCAUCUCCAAGGACAAAAAAUGAAGUGGAGUGGAGUUCAUUGUUUCUUUGAAUGCUGUGAUAACCGGUGACAAAUAUUUACGUCCUAAGCAUUAGUUUCAGUACCAAUGUGUGUAUAACUUUUGUUGGUUGGCAUGUCAACCCAUUUCUUGUCUGUAAUUGAUAUAACCUUCAAGUAAUUUGAAACAUACUGGAUUUAAUGUGGGAUCAUGGAGAUUUUCUCGAUUAGUAGUGUAGGAUUUAAUUUGAA